GUUUGAGUAUCAGUGCAGGUGGUCGGUUGAGUAUUUUUUUUCCUUAGAGGUGAUUUUUUUUCCCUUCAUCGUGGCCUCUGAUUCAGGAAUGUACAGGAAUUUGGAGGUCAACAAAGGAGCAGACAUCAAAUGAUCAAUUAGCAGCAGUGCUGGGAUGACUGUAGUCAACUAGAUGAGGAUGGACAUAUCUAAAGAAGGUCAAGAGGAACUGAGUGGAUAUGUCAAAUAUUAAAAAGCUAUUGGACACCAUCAUCACUGAGUCACAUUAUCCAUGUCCACUUUUACUGGCUCCUGAAUCAUUGAAAAAUGUACAAUAUCUCCUCACCAACCCUGCUCAGGUUAGAUGGAAUAGCAAAAAGUCAUUUGGUGAAGAAAUCCACAAUGGUGUAUGUGUAAAUAUAUUAAAAACAUACAAAACAUGACAGAUUUAAAUCUAUUUGUAUUUUUCAUAGCUAACAAACCUUUGGUCUUAACAC